rnacentral:tRNA from 1 species
CGGGGCGUAGCGCAGCCCGGUUAGCGCGCUGUGUUCGGGACGCAGAGGUCCCCGGUUCGAAUCCGGGCGCCCCGA